rnacentral:rRNA from 3 species
ACAGAGAGGACACAUUUAUUUGAGCCCGUCAAAUUAAGUGCCAGCCGACGCGGUUAAACUUAAGGGCUGGUCUCUAUAAGUAAAAAGGCGUAAAGGAUGUGUAGGCUAAGAAAUUAUCCAAGAAGGUGAAUGGAAUUUUUCUGGAGCGGUAGAAUGUGAGGAUAGAAAAUAGAACUCCUAAGGUUAAAACUAUUCACCACAAGAUAGGCUGAAACAUGAAAGUGUGGGGAACAAACAGGAUUAGAGACCCUGGUAGUCCACACUGUGAACUUUGAAGAUGAUGCUUAGCAGGCCCGAAAGGUAAAAUCUUCCGCCUGAGUAGAACGAUCGCAAGAUUAAAAUUCAAAAACUUUGGCUGUUCACUAUUUCGAUUAGAGGAGCGUGUAGUUUAAUUCGAUGGUCCGCGUGUUACCUCACCCCAGCUUGAAUCCGUGACCGGUAUUGCAUGGCCGUCGUAAGUCCGUGUGUUAAGCUAGAAGGGACCCAACCCGGGCGCCUGCCCGGAGGAAGUCAGGUCUUAUGAUCCGAAUGCUGGGGGAUUAUAUGCGCUACAUUUUCUUAUAUAAUGGGAGACCUGGAAGGUGAACCUCUAAAGUAAGAGUUCGGAAGGUUGCUGUAAGACGACUGGAAGUUGAAUUUAAUAGUAAUCGGAAAGUAGAGCGUUCCGGUGA